UCUCCUGUGCACAAACAAGGGAAUACACAAUCACGGACAGCGCUGAUUUCUUGGAUUUAUCCUCAUCUGCCGAAGAAAUACCAGCAUCGGUUGAUUGGGAAGACGGAGGAAUACGUCCAUACAGAUUUGAACCUGUGGCUGUAAAUAAUGAGCAGCUGUAGAAUGAGUUCGUACCGACACUUUGUGCUUUGGUGGACAAAGACGAGGAGCAGCGGUGAAGGCCUCGCUCUCCUCCUGCAUAACGGCCAUCGAGCACCGAGAGGGUAGCAGGGCACAACUGAGGAACUGACAGAAAGAAAGGAAGUGGCUUUAUAUAUACAUUCACAACAGUGGGUCUGAAAACCGCAGGCCAUGGCAAAAAUUAAUCAGGAUUAUUUUCAAAAAGUGCAUAGUUUCAGUACAUGUGGGGACCAGGGCUCAAAUUUGAAGGGUUUAAGGAAUUUUGAACAUUUUCCCCCUCUCAGGCACACCUGGACCAAAAUAGUUUGAGGAUCCCUGAUCUCCACAAUAACCAAAGUGUCUAGUCACUUUAACACUUUUCUUUUCUUGUACAGCUCCGCAAAUGUUCACACAUCCCCAAAAGUAUUGCAACAAGUGGCCUAAGCCUUGACUGAAAACAUGGAUGUUUGACAGAAAAGGAGCAAAAAUGAUCAUCACUGCACACCAGUAUGUGAGAUGUCGAUGCACUGCGUCGGUGGUGUUUUCUUACGCUGGAGCUGGAGUGAUAGCACAGUGUGCCAUUUUUAGACAAGGACACGGUGCCAUGGGGAUUUCCAACCUGGCCAGGGAAGGAGGCCGACCCCGGCGUGGAGCCUCCAGAGUGACUCGGAGAGUUUGGGAGGGACUUGCAGGCCUGCAGUGCCACCUGCUUCUUCUGAGCGACAAUUUUCUGGGCAGCUGGAAGAGAAAAGCAGAUCUCUGGCCUCUGAUUGGUCAGUGACGCGGAUUGCGCAAUAUCCACGGAGGGGUCAAUUAAGCGAGAACAGAGAGAAGAUGCCCUUUGUGUUCUGCCGGUGUGGGCAAAGUGGUUGACACCACCGCCGCCCUCAC